rnacentral:rRNA from 1 species
CCGGCGAUGUCCGAAUGGGGAAACCCAGUGUGAUUCGUCACACUAUCGUUAACUGAAUACAUAGGUUAACGAGGCGAACCGGGGGAACUGAAACAUCUAAGUACCCCGAGGAAAAGAAAUCAACCGAGAUUCCCCCAGUAGCGGCGAGCGAACGGGGAGCAGCCCAGAGUCUGAAUCAGCUUGUGUGUUAGUGGAACGGUCUGGAAAGUCCGACGGUACAGGGUGAUAGUCCCGUACACCAAAAUGCACAGGCUGUGAACUCGAAGAGUAGGGCGGGACACGUGGUAUCCUGUCUGAAUAUGGGGGGACCAUCCUCCAAGGCUAAAUACUCCUGACUGACCGAUAGUGAACCAGUACCGUGAGGGAAAGGCGAAAAGAACCCCGGCGAGGGGAGUGAAAAAGAACCUGAAACCGUGUACGUACAAGCAGUGGGAGCACCUUCGGGUGUGACUGCGUACCUUUUGUAUAAUGGGUCAGCGACUUAUAUUCUGUAGCAAGGUUAACCGUAUAGGGGAGCCGCAGGGAAACCGAGUCUUAACUGGGCGUUAAGUUGCAGGGUAUAGACCCGAAACCCGGUGAUCUAGCCAUGGGCAGGUUGAAGGUUGGGUAACACUAACUGGAGGACCGAACCGACUAAUGUUGAAAAAUUAGCGGAUGACUUGUGGCUGGGGGUGAAAGGCCAAUCAAACCGGGAGAUAGCUGGUUCUCCCCGAAAGCUAUUUAGGUAGCGCCUCGUGAAUUCAUCUUCGGGGGUAGAGCACUGUUUCGGCUAGGGGGUCAUCCCGACUUACCAACCCGAUGCAAACUACGAAUACCGAAGAAUGUUAUCACGGGAGACACACGGCGGGUGCUAACGUCCGUCGUGAAGAGGGAAACAACCCAGACCGCCAGCUAAGGUCCCAAAGUCAUGGUUAAGUGGGAAACGAUGUGGGAAGGCACAGACAGCCAGGAUGUUGGCUUAGAAGCAGCCAUCAUUUAAAGAAAGCGUAAUAGCUCACUGGUCGAGUCGGCCUGCGCGGAAGAUGUAACGGGGCUAAACCAUGCACCGAAGCUGCGGCAGCGACACUAUGUGUUGUUGGGUAGGGGAGCGUUCUGUAAGCCUGCGAAGGUGUGCUGUGAGGCAUGCUGGAGGUAUCAGAAGUGCGAAUGCUGACAUAAGUAACGAUAAAGCGGGUGAAAAGCCCGCUCGCCGGAAGACCAAGGGUUCCUGUCCAACGUUAAUCGGGGCAGGGUGAGUCGACCCCUAAGGCGAGGCCGAAAGGCGUAGUCGAUGGGAAACAGGUUAAUAUUCCUGUACUUGGUGUUACUGCGAAGGGGGGACGGAGAAGGCUAUGUUAGCCGGGCGACGGUUGUCCCGGUUUAAGCAUGUAGGCUGAUUGUCCAGGCAAAUCCGGAUAAUCAAGGCUGAGGUGUGAUGACGAGGCACUACGGUGCUGAAGUAACAAAUGCCCUGCUUCCAGGAAAAGCCUCUAAGCAUCAGGUAACAUCAAAUCGUACCCCAAACCGACACAGGUGGUCAGGUAGAGAAUACCAAGGCGCUUGAGAGAACUCGGGUGAAGGAACUAGGCAAAAUGGUGCCGUAACUUCGGGAGAAGGCACGCUGGUGUGUAGGUGAAGUCCCUGCGGAUGGAGCUGAGACCAGUCGAAGAUACCAGCUGGCUGCAACUGUUUAUUAAAAACACAGCACUGUGCAAACACGAAAGUGGACGUAUACGGUGUGACGCCUGCCCGGUGCCGGAAGGUUAAUUGAUGGGGUUAUCCGUAAGGAGAAGCUCUUGAUCGAAGCCCCGGUAAACGGCGGCCGUAACUAUAACGGUCCUAAGGUAGCGAAAUUCCUUGUCGGGUAAGUUCCGACCUGCACGAAUGGCGUAAUGAUGGCCAGGCUGUCUCCACCCGAGACUCAGUGAAAUUGAACUCGCUGUGAAGAUGCAGUGUACCCGCGGCAAGACGGAAAGACCCCGUGAACCUUUACUAUAGCUUGACACUGAACAUUGAGCCUUGAUGUGUAGGAUAGGUGGGAGGCUUUGAAGCGUGGACGCCAGUCUGCGUGGAGCCAACCUUGAAAUACCACCCUUUAAUGUUUGAUGUUCUAACGUUGGCCCCUGACCGGGGUUGCGGACAGUGUCUGGUGGGUAGUUUGACUGGGGCGGUCUCCUCCCAAAGCGUAACGGAGGAGCACGAAGGUUAGCUAAUCCUGGUCGGACAUCAGGAGGUUAGUGCAAUGGCAUAAGCUAGCUUGACUGCGAGCGUGACGGCGCGAGCAGGUGCGAAAGCAGGUCAUAGUGAUCCGGUGGUUCUGAAUGGAAGGGCCAUCGCUCAACGGAUAAAAGGUACUCCGGGGAUAACAGGCUGAUACCGCCCAAGAGUUCAUAUCGACGGCGGUGUUUGGCACCUCGAUGUCGGCUCAUCACAUCCUGGGGCUGAAGUAGGUCCCAAGGGUAUGGCUGUUCGCCAUUUAAAGUGGUACGCGAGCUGGGUUUAGAACGUCGUGAGACAGUUCGGUCCCUAUCUGCCGUGGGCGCUGGAGAAUUGAGGGGGGCUGCUCCUAGUACGAGAGGACCGGAGUGGACGCAUCACUGGUGUUCGGGUUGUCAUGCCAAUGGCACUGCCCGGUAGCUAAAUGCGGAAGAGAUAAGUGCUGAAAGCAUCUAAGCACGAAACUUGCCCCGAGAUGAGUUCUCCCUGAGACUUUAAGUCUCCUGAAGGAACGUU